rnacentral:rRNA from 1 species
CCUACGGGUGGCAGCAGUGGGGAAUAUUGCUCAAUGGGGGAAACCCUGAAGCAGCAACGCCGCGUGGAGGAUGAAGGUUUUCGGAUUGUAAACUCCUUUUGUUAGAGAAGAUAAUGACGGUAUCUCACGAAUAAGCACCGGCUAACUCCGUGCCAGCAGCCGCGGUAAUACGGAGGGUGCAAGCGUUACUCGGAAUCACUGGGCGUAAAGAGCGCGUAGGCGGGAUAGCAAGUCAGAUGUGAAAUCCUGUGGCUUAACCAUAGAACUGCAUUUGAAACUGUUAGUCUAGAGUGUGGGAGAGGUAGGUGGAAUUCUUGGUGUAGGGGUAAAAUCCGUAGAGAUCAAGAGGAAUACUCAUUGCGAAGGCGACCUACUAGAACAUAACUGACGCUGAGGCACGAAAGCGUGGGGAGCAAACAGGAUUAGAUACCCUUGUAGUC